GUCGGAGGCGCGGCUGCGGGUCUGUGAGCUACAGUAGCCCCUCAGAGUCGCUCAAGGCAAGAAGACCCAGAGACAGCAAGACUGAAACAAAAAGCAAAGGAGGUGCCUGUUUCCUAGAAGUGGCAGCUGUGCCUGACUAAUUGAGUUGCAGUAAACCCAGUUGUCCAGAAACGAGCUACAAAUGCCUCUGGUCCUAAAGAAGAGAAUUUUUACAGCACUUCCUUAAUUCUUUGGCACAGCAGUCCCCUCCAACUUGGCUUCACCAGCAAAGACCAGCCCCUCCUGGCCAUUCACACAUGUGCCAGCUCGGCUCAGAGCCUGCUUGCAUGGAUCUUGAUGAACUUGUCUGAUCGGCCCCUAUUUGUGAAAGAGGAGAAGCAGACCUUGUCCAAGAUGGGCACUGAAUAAAAUGCCACAGUCAGAAGGUCGGGUUCUGUUUAUUCUUAAAGAGAGAAUUAAUUAAGGCAAACAUGUUCUCAGGAAGGCUGUGAGUGUGUAGUUGGGGACUACAGUGAGGUACUCCAAGAACUGGGAAAUGAGGGAGGCGAGAAUGACCUCAGAGCUAAAUGAUGAAAUCUAUGGAAUUGAAUCAAAGCUGAAUUCUUCAGAGUCAGUUU